UGGAAGCCCAAAUGCUGCUCUGCAGGGAGCAUGGCUACUCCCCUCCUGGACUGCUCUCCACCCAGAAGAAUCAUUUUUAAACACAGCACGGCAUUUCCUCCCAAACUGAAUUUCAUGAAUUUUCUACUUCUCUGUAAUCCUUUGGCAUUCCUGGAUUCCAUUUGCAACACAAACCAAGAAGUUUGGAGGAACAUCAAAGGUUUUUUUUUUUUUUUUUUUUUUUUUUCUCCUAGAGAUAGCAAUGCAUGCAGAUGCACUUGCUCUGCAGCAGAUCUUGCGUAGCCUAGAGAAAGUGAGUUUAUUUCUGGAAACCUGAUUUAUGGAGCAGCAAAUGGAUGGAUGGCUGAUCCCCAGGGGAAAAUGUAAAUCAGCACUGACAAACACCUCGAAAGACCACCAAGUUCCAACCUGAUGCUGCCAGGCUCAUAACUGUAUUAGCAAAUAUUUUAUAUAAGCCUAGCAUGUGUGCUCCCUAAUAACCAUGUGGCUUUUAACAGCUUACAUAAUGUAUAUAAGCACUUCGUUAAGAUCUGGUGUAUUACGCUAUAUCAAAGUGUUGGAUGAGAAACUGGCAAUAGGUCAUCCAAAAUUAUGCAGUUUCACAUGAAAGGAUUUUGCCCUUUUAUGGCAAAGGUAGAAACUCUCUGGGUGGUGGUGGUGUGUGUUUUGUUCUCAAAAUAUCCGAUUCUCCACACACGUGUGCUCUGCUGACAGCACAGCUGUAAUUAUCCAUGUGAGAAGCACCUGCUUCUGCUUGUUUUUAGUGUCUUAAUUAAGCAUAUUUGGCCUACGAGGCAAGGGCAGAGUGGUUGAAUGGGCACAUGGCUGCAGCUGAUAUAUGCAGGCAGAAGUGAUACAUGGCAGGCAACAUAUCUUAAUAUGGUCCAUCACCCUUUGUCAUGUUGUAAGCAGAGACUCCCCUGUCCCACGAUACAGAGUGCUUUGCACAGGAAAUAUUUGUGCUGUCUCAGUCCAUUAUGUGUUUGUGCUCCUCUUCAGUUGAACUCUAAUGCUGACCCCGCUCAGGGUGUGUUGCUUGUUUUGGAAAUACUUGUGAUAUCCCUUGAAUGUUUAUUUUCCACCCCAACAUGCUGCUACAUUCUUGCAAGCUUUCUCUGGCUGCAAUGCAAUGUUUGGCCAGGAAACAGAGAAUACAAAUGAAAAACAGUGCCCCGGUCUUAGGGAAAUGUAGUGAACCUACAACAGAAAAUGUUUGAUUGGAAAAAAGGCUAUGAUUUCCAAAGAAAUAACAAACAAACAGCUGGUCAGCACCCCUGUAAGAUCAUCAACUUCAAAUGUGUAUUUCCUGGGCAGAUCAAAAUAUUUUGUUUAGUUCUCCUCCUCUGCCCUCACCAGGUAGGAGAAGCAGAGGGCAGGUCCAGUGAUAAUGUACCAAAGCAGAUAAUGACAUGGUUAAUAACUGUGGCAAGUAUUUGUUGCAACAAUUUGCAUGGCCAACUGUCUUCACAUUGCUUCCAGUGAUGGAUCCAGGCUGCCAGCUUUCUCCACCUAUUUGUUGAAGACCAGCACUUAAACCAACAGCACACCCAGGGGCAGACUCAAAGGGCCAGCAGCAGGAAAACACUUUUCCUGUGCAGUGUUUUUCAGGAACCUAAUGUCAAUAGUGACAUUGGGGUCACUUUUGCCAGGUUAGCAGAGUAUUGGGAGCAUUAAUACAAGGCUUGUGUUUUCUGAAGCAAGGCCUCGAAUGCUCAGCAGAGCAACAGAAGUUCUCAACAUCUCUGUCAGAGAACAUGAAAGCAGACCCCGGUGUCCAUGAAGUCACAGCACUGUAGAGCCUCUGUAUAUGAACUAGGUGUGAACAUGGCUAAGGCAACUGUAGGUACAGAGACAGACCCAAAUUCAUCAGCAGCUGCUUAUAUCACCACAGAGGGCUAGACAGAGGCCUGGCUUCACUGUCACUACCCAGAACGUGCUCAAAAUUCAGGAUCUCCAUAACAGCUAACACUGCUCCCUUCAAACCACAAUACAGCAUGACAUGUUACCUCAGAGCCACCCUGGGACCAGAUCAUCCCUUCUGCUAGACUACAGGAUGAUCCAGGGGUACAGCAGGGGAUCGGGUUAUCCACAAGUACAGCUUGCCGAGCUAUAUAAUCUGGUACAUUAAACUAAAACAUUGUUGGAUGGCACCAGAUGUUUUGAAUCCCACUCUGUGAUCAAAAACAGAGGCAGGCAAUUGUGUGACACAGAUGAGAAAAGGAAGCUUGGGUAGGCAUUUCAUCAUCUGGAGGCAUGAGGAGUCCCAAAUGGGGGUGGUGUAGGGGGCUGGCCUCAGUGGGGGAGUGGUUGGGGAGCUGGAGGAGACCAGUGCCUUGUUUACAUGUUUGUAUCCCAGAAAUGCAAAGGCUUUGGAGCAUAAUGACCUCUCCUCUGUGCUUCUCCUGAGGGAAAACUUCUCCUUACCUACAUGACAAUACACUAAGGGGUGCACAGCAGCAAAACAGCUGAGUGCCAGAUAGUAAUAGACUGAGUCCUGCCCACCUGAAGAAUGGCCCUGAAGAUAAUGCAGUACAGGAACUCUGAAAGCACACGGAAUAGUGGGGGGACUGUGCUUGAGAAAUCUCUAGUUCUUAACCAAAAAUUCAACUUUUCAUUGCCCUCAGAAUAGUAUGUGUGUGUUGUUUUGCUCGAUUGACAGGGUGACUGAAACUCUGGUAGCACAACAAAGCCCAAAUUUGUCUGUAAAUCCCCAUUUCAAAAGUUGGUUUCCCAGACUUCUGUAAAAAAAGAACAGCCCGGUUGUAAGAAAGUGAGCCAGAUUCUUUCCUGGUUUAUGAAGCAGUGAGGGAAUUGAUAACUAAAUACCAGUGGCAGGCGCUGCAGUGCAGAUGGUGCCUGAGCCUGAAAGACGGCGGCAUGCCUGUUACACUCCAAGUGAAGCUGCUGAGCUGGCAGCCACCACAGCCAUUAUUUUAUUGCUAAGCUAAGCAGAUCAGACAUGUAAGUUCACUGGGACCUAAAAAUGGUUCAUUUGUACUAAGAUAAACUUCAGCGCGAACAUUCAGUGACUAGCAGCACGUCUGCAGUUCACCCCCUUGUGGAUGAUGGAUGGGAAACCAAAUACAUAGGAGGAGGAGACUAACGCAGAAUAGAGAAUUUGUCCUCAGGGUAGUGUUUGGAGAAACUUUUUUUCUAUUAUAAAGAGAAAAUAGAAGGGGGCAGGAUUGGCUUCUGCCUUGCAAGGCAAGGUAGCAAAUCUGGCAUUGUAGUCUUGUGAAAAGUCAACCCUGUGACCAGCAGCACGAAGCUGAAGUCCUUGAGCAGAGAUCUGUAUUGACAAUAUGAACACACAGAGUUGCUGUAUGUUUGUGAAUCAACUCAUACAUGUUGCAGUGUCUGUGGAGAACACAGGCAGGCAGUGAGACCGGCUGCAGUGCUACCUGGGCCUUCUCUCUCCAUCGUGAAGCAGCGCAAAUGAGCCUGUACCAUGUUCUACGCGGGUACCAAAUCUAGUUUGUGAAGUGAGUUGGCUUAUUGUAAUGGAUCACUGCUUCUUGGAGUGAAAAUGAAAUAAUCUGUAGGUGAGGAUCUACAUGUCCUCUGCUCUCCGCGCCACACAACAGUUGAGCACCUGACUGUAUCUCUAGACGUCAGGCCUGUACAGCAUCAGUUGAGCAUAAGCCCUGAACAACCUGACACAAGCCAUCUGCUCCUCCUCUGCUCGCUUUGCACAGCCAGCCAGGUCCUCUCCUUCCUGCUAUCAGGAUUGAGUGACAGCCAGCGAGCAAUCCUCCGAGGCUCAGGCAUUGCCACACCAAGCAACUGGACCUUCAGACUGGUGGAACCGGUGUGGAGAUGACUUCUACUAGCAUGCCAGUGGCCCAAACGCUCUCACUGGGGCAGUGGCGUGUAAAGGUAGCUGCAAAAAGAAUCAUCGGACCUGUGGUAUUUCUCCUCUGACUGCAAGCAUAACACCCCGCAUUUGUACCUAAGCAGAUUAUUGUUCUGAUCAUAGGUCAUAGCUCUGCUCCGCCAGCAUCGGCUGAUGACAUCACUGACACCCAAACCAGAGCAAGGAACUGCUGAAUGCACCAGCUGCUAAUAUCAUCAGCGGCCAGGAGCCUGCAACUCCUGCUGUCUUCGCCUCUUGAUAAAAGCCCAAAGUCAAUUCAGAAGAAAUGGUGCUAGAGAGUGUGAACAGGUGAGAGGGUAACCAUUUAAAUUGCUUACUUUAAAACUGUAGCAGAAGAUAUGCUUUCUGCAGGAACAAAAUGUGAAAUGAACAAUCACAUAAUUGAAAUCAAUGUCUAGGCUUUUCAGUUACAUAUAAACUUAGCAACACAUCUUGCCCAAAAUUAUUGUGAUUACAUCGUGUGUUUGUUACAAAAACAUUCAGCCCACAUUUCUAAAGUUUGUCAGGUUAUUUAUUUAAAGUAUUUCUCUUGCAAAUAAAAUUUGGAAAACAA